rnacentral:rRNA from 1 species
GAUGAACGCUGGCGGCGUGCCUAAUACAUGCAAGUCGAGCGAACAGACGAGGAGCUUGCUCCUCUGACGUUAGCGGCGGACGGGUGAGUAACACGUGGAUAACCUACCUAUAAGACUGGGAUAACUUCGGGAAACCGGAGCUAAUACCGGAUAAUAUAUUGAACCGCAUGGUUCAAUAGUGAAAGACGGUUUUGCUGUCACUUAUAGAUGGAUCCGCGCCGCAUUAGCUAGUUGGUAAGGUAACGGCUUACCAAGGCAACGAUGCGUAGCCGACCUGAGAGGGUGGUAGGCCACACUGGAACUGAGACACGGUCCAGACGCCUACGGGAGGCAGCAGUAGGGAAUCUUCCGCAAUGGGCGAAAGCCUGACGGAGCAACGCCGCGUGAGUGAUGAAGGUCUUCGGAUCGUAAAACUCUGUUAUUAGGGAAGAACAAAUGUGUAAGUAACUAUGCACGUCUUGACGGUACCUAAUCAGAAAGCCACGGCUAACUACGUG